rnacentral:rRNA from 1 species
UACGGGGGUGGCAAGCGUUGUUCGGAAUUACUGGGCGUAAAGGGCUCGUAGGCGGCCAACUAAGUCAGAUGUGAAAUCCCUCGGCUUAACCGGGGAACUGCGUCUGAUACUGGAUGGCUUGAGUUCGGGAGAGGGAUGCGGAAUUCCAGGUGUAGCGGUGAAAUGCGUAGAUAUCUGGAGGAACACCGGUGGCGAAGGCGGCUCUCUGGGACGGUACUGACGCUGAGACGCGAAAGCGUGGGGAGCGAACAGG